GGCCAGGCCCCGCCGUACCGGCAGCCAGGGCUGGAGGGGAGCGCAGGCUGCCAGAGCAGUUGGGCUGUGGCCCUAAUUCCCAGAAAGCUGCUCGUGUGGGAGUGAGUGUCCUCCCGUGCCCUCCGCUCCGCCGCAGCCUCCAGACUCCUGAAGGUUUGACGUGGGGUUUUUUUUCCUUUAUUUUUUCCUUUUUUUAAAUUUUUUUUUUUUAAUUUAAGCGCCUGUGCAGAUUAACAAAAGCUCCCGCGGUCACCGCGCCCGGUGCUGGGCACGGGGUGGGGGGAUCGGGGCUGCUUCCUCCGCCUGCGCCCUCCGCUUCCUCACCUGCGCCGCGGUGGAGGCAGGUAGGUGCGUGCCGGGCUCUGUGCCGGGGCUGGGAGGAAGAGGAGGAGGAGGAGGAGGAGGAGGAAGAGGAAGGGCUGGGUUCUGUGCGUGCACUCCGGGCCAGCCGGAGCGGGGAUCCAUUUUGCCUGAGAAAAAAGCUGGAUUUGGGUUUUUUUUCCCCGGGCAGAGGCGGUCUGUGGGUCUGGGGGUGCGGAGNNNNNNNNNNCUCUGCUCCCUUCCAGGAGUUUUACGCCAAGAAAGGACCCGGGUUCCACCCCUCGACCGAGAACCACGCGGCGCCGCAGCUGCUGCUGGGCAAGAGCCAAGCAGGGCAGGACAGAGACGGGGAGGGGGAGCCGGCGGUGCCGGAGCUGCCGGGAGCCCCGUGGAGGGAUGGCCGGGCGGGGGGCAGCUCGGCGGUGCCCGCUCCCCAUCCCCGCACGCCUCCCCCCGGCUCCAGCCGCCCCCUGUUCCUCCCGCAGCCCGGCUCGGGGGGCUGCGGGGGGCCCUGGGUGGGCGCACGGCCCCACGGCGCCGAGUUUUCCAUGGACACGGGGCCGGGCCGGCCCUCGGAGCCUAAAGAUGAACGCCUGGGCUACCGAAGCGCCCAGCCCGGCUCGCCCCCGGCAUGCGGGGAGCCCAACCCCUCGCCUCUGCACUACCCAGCGGCUCUGGCCAAGCCGGAGGCCCCCCCGGGCUGUCUCUGCCGCACCCCGGGCUGCGAUGGGUGCCCGGGGGUGGGCUGCGGGGUGCCCAACCCCUUCGAGCCCACCCUGGGCAUGGCCGGGGGGCGUUUUCCGUGCCCCCCCAGCAACCACACCAAGCUGAAGAAGACGUGGCUGACGCGGCACUCGGAGCAGUCGCUGCCUCGCUCCAAAGCUUCCCGGCGGGACGGGGGUCCCGAGCCCCCCGGGGAGGGCAAGCGCUCGGCCAAACGCCCCCACGGCAGCGCCGAUGGGCCCCGGCCUGCCGGCGAGGGCGCCGGGGCGGCCAAGAGGGGCACCAAGGCCACCGCGUGCCCGGGUGAUGGCACGGAGAGCGCGGGGCACCCCGAGGAGAGGAGGAUGGAGCUGGCAGAUGAAGAGCCGCCGAGCCGUGCGGCGGAGCCGUGGCGCCUGCAGAGCCUGCCCUGCACGGCGCUGCCCCCCGGCAUCCCCCGCUGCUGUGCCUGCGCCCCCCGCGCCGGGGGGGACCCCGAGGGCGAGGAGGAGGAGGAGGAGGAGCCCCCCGAGAGCACCUGCAGGCUGCUGCACUUCCGCAGGUGAGCCCGGGCUGAGCUCCCAGGGUCCAGCAGGACGUGUCGGGGGGCAGUGGAGCAUCCCCUUCUUCGGAAUAUCCCUUUGGAGCACCCCCUUGGGAACAUCCCGUCCAUCACCCCGUUUUAGAGUCUUUCCUUCCUGUCACCCAACUCUUUAGAGCAUCCCCUCCCUUCACCCCACUUUGGGGCGUCCCUUCCUGUCACCCCGCUUCGGGACACCCUCUUCUGUCACCCUACUUUGGAGAUCCUCUCCUGUCACCCCGCGUCAGGGAGUCCCCUCCUCUCCCCCCACUUCUGAGCAUCCCUUCCUCGUCCUGCCCUUUUCUGGCAUCCUCCCCCACCACCCCAAGUUUCCACCUCUUGUCUCACCACCCCGUUUUGAGCACCCCCAACUCUGUCUCCUCUCCACCUCAAGUUUUCCACUCUUGUCUCACCACCCCGUUUUGAGCACCCCAACUCUGUCCCCUCAAGAUUUCACCUCUUGUCUCACCACCCCGUUUUGAGCACCCCAACUCUGUCCCCUCUCCCCGCAGGUUGGCCCUGGGGGACAGCGGGG
rnacentral:lncRNA from 1 species